UGUGGACGUUACCAAACUGUUGCCUCGGCGGGGUCACGCCCCGGGUGCGUCGCAGCCCCGGAACCAGGCGCCCGCCGGAGGAACCAACCAAACUCUUUCUGUAGUCCCCUCGCGGACGUAUUUCUUACAGCUCUGAGCAAAAAUUCAAAAUGAAUCAAAACUUUCAACAACGGAUCUCUUGGUUCUGGCAUCGAUGAAGAACGCAGCGAAAUGCGAUAAGUAAUGUGAAUUGCAGAAUUCAGUGAAUCAUCGAAUCUUUGAACGCACAUUGCGCCCGCCAGUAUUCUGGCGGGCAUGCCUGUCCGAGCGUCAUUUCAACCCUCGAACCCCUCCGGGGGAUCGGCGUUGGGGAUCGGGACCCCUCACACGGGUGCCGGCCCCGAAAUACAGUGGCGGUCUCGCCGCAGCCUCUCCUGCGCAGUAGUUUGCACAACUCGCACCGGGAGCGCGGCGCGUCCACGUCCGUAAAACACCCAACUUUCUGAAAUGUUGACCUCGGAUCAGGUAGGAAUACCCGCUGAACUUAAGCAUAUCAG
rnacentral:rRNA from 1 species